rnacentral:rRNA from 1 species
UANANNGCCGGCCGGCCCUAACACAUGCAAGUCGAGCGGUAACAGGGGUAGCUUGCUACCCGCUGACGAGCGGCGGACGGGUGAGUAAUGCAUAGGAAUCUGCCCGAUAGUGGGGGAUAACCUGGGGAAACCCAGGCUAAUACCGCAUACGUCCUACGGGAGAAAGGGGGCUUCGGCUCCCGCUAUUGGAUGAGCCUAUGUCGGAUUAGCUAGUUGGUGAGGUAAAGGCUCACCAAGGCUGCGAUCCGUAGCUGGUCUGAGAGGAUGAUCAGCCACAUCGGGACUGAGACACGGCCCGAACUCCUACGGGAGGCAGCAGUGGGGAAUAUUGGACAAUGGGGGCAACCCUGAUCCAGCCAUGCCGCGUGUGUGAAGAAGGCCCUCGGGUUGUAAAGCACUUUCAGCGAGGAAGAACGCCUAGCGGUUAAUACCCGCUAGGAAAGACAUCACUCGCAGAAGAAGCACCGGCUAACUCCGUGCCAGCAGCCGCGGUAAUACGGAGGGUGCAAGCGUUAAUCGGAAUUACUGGGCGUAAAGCGCGCGUAGGUGGCUUGAUAAGCCGGUUGUGAAAGCCCCGGGCUCAACCUGGGAACGGCAUCCGGAACUGUCAGGCUAGAGUGCAGGAGAGGAAGGUAGAAUUCCCGGUGUAGCGGUGAAAUGCGUAUAGAUCCUGAGGAAUACCCGUGGCNAAAGGCGGGCUUUUGGACUUACAUUUCCCCUGANGUGC